rnacentral:rRNA from 1 species
GACGAACGCUGGCGGCGUGCCUAAUACAUGCAAGUAGAACGCUGAAGGAGGAGCUUGCUUCUCUGGAUGAGUUGCGAACGGGUGAGUAACGCGUAGGUAACCUGCCUGGUAGCGGGGGAUAACUAUUGGAAACGAUAGCUAAUACCGCAUAAUAGUAGAUGUUGCAUGACAUUUGCUUAAAAGGUGCAAUUGCAUCACUACCAGAUGGACCUGCGUUGUAUUAGCUAGUUGGUGGGGUAACGGCUCACCAAGGCGACGAUACAUAGCCGACCUGAGAGGGUGAUCGGCCACACUGGGACUGAGACACGGCCCAGACUCCUACGGGAGGCAGCAGUAGGGAAUCUUCGGCAAUGGACGGAAGUCUGACCGAGCAACGCCGCAUGAGUGAAGAAGGUUUUCGGAUCGUAAAGCUCUGUUGUAAGAGAAGAACGAGUGUGAGAGUGGAAAGUUCACACUGUGACGGUAUCUUACCAGAAAGGGACGGCUAACUACGUG